rnacentral:rRNA from 1 species
AAAUUGAAGAGUUUGAUCAUGGCUCAGAUUGAACGCUGGCGGCAGGCCUAACACAUGCAAGUCGAACGGUAACAGGAAUCAGCUUGCUGAUUUGCUGACGAGUGGCGGACGGGUGAGUAAUGUCUGGGAAACUGCCUGAUGGAGGGGGAUAACUACUGGAAACGGUAGCUAAUACCGCAUAAUGUCGCAAGA